CCAACUUAAGUUCUAGCAAUUAACAAAAGAUAAGCGUGCUGCCCCCAGGAUUAUUUUUGGCCUCAAGUAUGGGAAUGCCGCCCCAUGAUCUAAGUAGCUCAAUGGAAUAUACAGUAGAUUGAAUAGAAAACAUAGGUUUAUUUUUCGGACAGGAAAAGAUGGCUGGCUGAAGUGUAGAGCUUCUGAAACAAUGGCAAUGCAAGCACUCAUAAAUUGCCUGAUGACCAAAAAAUGUACUAAUAGUUGCUGUUGGAAUUUCAGGUCUGUUUGACAAACCUAAGCCCCAACCCAACUUAGUUUGCCUCUGUUUUGUUAAGGCAGUUUAAUUUUGCUGAACUGUUAGAAAUCUGCAGGGAAUUUCAAUUAACCAUACGAACAGAUCUCAGAUCAUUACUUGGAUCGUAAUGCUGGCAUUAAGUGUGUGAAUUUCGAUUAAUAAUCGUCUCGUGUUAAAUAAAUAUUGUUAGUUUGCUGAUUAUGAAAGCUGUACGAUAAUCCUUCCCUGUGGGCUGUCUUUGUGAAGUAAUAUGUUUGUGUUCAAAGAAUUUAUUGGGUAACCACAUAGCAAACAACCAUGAUGAUGGUUUCAUUUGUCUUACAUUAAACAUUCCUUAUCUAGAGCUCUAGUUACCAUAUGUACGUACAUGAAUUGAAACAGGUUUCUGUUUUGAGUCGCAUAUUUAGCUAGCUGUGACUCAUUGAGUUUGAGAGAUUGCCUGAUCUAGAUAUUUGAAAGUUUUCUGAUAAUUUAGGAAUCCCAUGAACCAGAAAUCAAAAUUAUCCCUAGUAACUAUCUCUAUGUACUUCUGCGAUGAGUUUUUGAUAUUCCUACUCUCAUUGCCUCUCUUUAUCUUUCUUAAUGGGAUCAAGACCUGCAUAAAGUAAAUAACAUUUAGAAAAUAUUCAAGAAACCAAUAAAUAUUUAUGAGAAGGGUUAAAUAAAAUUGUAACUUGCCUUAUAGUGUAUCCUGACAAUCUCUCCUGUUGGAGAAGAGAUUUUCAUUGACCUCUCACUGCAAAAGGCAACCUUGUCUGUGGAGAUAAAGAGGAGGCCUGCAAUGGGGCCUGCUGUUGUUGACAGAUAACAUUGGGAAGCUUUCAACAACUUCUCUCCUUCUCUCAUAUUAAAAUUCUGCUUGAAAUUUUUUGUAACCCCUCCUACUUGGAGAAUCUUUGCUCCCAAGCUCAACUUUCCCUUCACAGUUUCAGUUAUUUUGGGGCUUAAUCUCACUGAAAUUACCAAAAAUUAUUCAAGACUUAGAGAAAUAAAAGAUUUUUUACCCCUAAUAAUUUGACCACAGGUUUACCAAAAAUAAUUGAGAAUAUAUUGGCUUUGUGCAAAAAAUAAUUACCAUGCUCUCUGAUCCUGAUUGCUAAACUUUCUGAUCUUUCCAUCAGCUUGUUUGUCCUAUUAGUUGCCGAAUCUAAUUUACCUGCACGUUGGAGAAAACAGGAGGAAUGAACAAUGUCUUCACUUUACCAUCCAUAACUUAAUGAAUAAAAAAGAAAUACUCCAAAGAAUGAGAGAGGGAGACUUACUCUUAUUAAACUUGGAAGAUGAAUUUGCAGGUGGGAUGUAGUGUUGGAGAUCAGGGUCAGAUAAGAGCUUGUUUGAUGAUCUCUCGACUGGGUAUGAUGAUGACCUAACUGGAAUUCCAAUAACAUGUUGUGGAACUCUGUUCUUCAUAUUUGAUGAAUUAUUUUGAUUUGGUCUGUUCUCUUAAGUCUAUGUAACUAGUUGCUGCUUCUCUAUAAGAGCUGAAGUCCGAGGAGAUUCUUGGGAUGAGCAUGGAAAUAUGCAGCUGUAUAUAUAUAUAAUUGUAUAUGCAAUAUAUUGAGUUGGUGGAUCUUAGCUUUAAUUGGAUGAGUCAUCUAAGCGUAAUCAACGAUAUUAAAGGCGCAUUAUUGAAAUAUAAACGCACCAACAACUCUUACUCGGAUUGGGUCAGCUGUUAAAUUAGUAAAUCUUAGCAUGCAUGAUAUGUUGGAUUGCAGAUGUGCUGACAGAUUAUAGAUGUGGAAUUAAGCUUUUGAGCUGGUGUGCUGACAGAUUUCAGAUGUGGAAUUAAGCUUUUCUGCUGGAUUUUAGCUUUGUGAGGCCACCCUGCUUUUAACACUAUAGAACAAAAGUCUAAGGAUAAAGCCAUAAAGGUAUGCUUUUUCUAGCUUUCUUAUCACCAAAACCAAAUAGCAUGCUGAUGGUUGUGGUUUUAGUUAUCUAUGAGAAGUGAACCUCCUUAUAAAUUACUACUUGAUCAGCCAAAAUGCCUAUUUUCUGAUAUGGAAUAAAAUGUCAUUGUUAUAUAUAUUUUUACAUCUUCCUCCUGAAGAUAAUAUUAGGCUAUCUCAGCAAUUCUGUAAGAGACAAUCUAAGCUUAGCAGCACCCACACCACAGCACAACAUUUUUGAACAACUCUUCUACCUAAGAUUUUCCUGAUCCAUAAAAAGGCUAAAAGAAAGGGCAAGUUCCUGAUAAUAUUUAAAGUCACAGAACAUUCUUCAUUUGGUCUUUUAUGUGUUUCCCAUUUCCCAACUAAAUUUAAGGCAACUCCUUUGACUAUGAGGGUAUGCAUCUGAGUUGAAUAAACUAGCUGCAAUAGUUAGUUGUUUAUGGUCUGUUCCAUAUAAGUAUGGAUAUUUAUAUCACAUAUAUAUAAGCAUAUGUAUAGUUUUAGAAACGUCAUUUAUAGCAAAGAAGGAGAGUACUUAUGGUUUGAAUAAUUCCAUGUCCAAUGAGUAUUUUCAUUACACGUUGCCUUGGAAUUUUCAUAACUACAAUUUGUCCCUUAUCUUUGAUAGCCUACUUUGGGAUUAAAGACCUUAUUGAGUUGAGAUCUUUGAUACCUCUAGUCCAACACUCAAGUAUAGGAAAGAAUUGGGAGAUAAGCCCCCAGUCUAAAACAUAAAAGAGGGCAUAAAUCAAGUCAAAUUGAAGGAGUACGUACCAGUAGGAGGGACCCAUGUUUUAGAAGAAUGAGCUUAAUAUUAUUAGCUUUAUGAUAUUCAGAGGCAACAUUCUUGAACAAUUAUUCUUCCUCUCUCUCUCUCUCUUAUGAGUUCAUGUCUCAUGCUUAUUCAGGGUCUUACUUUUUUUCUUGACUAUUUUACUUCUUCAUUUCAUUAGUAAGAGCCUUUUUUGUGAACUCUCAAGUAAAUAUACUGCUGAGCUGAUUGGAAUACCAAUAACAUGUUCUAGAGUUGGGUUCUUCAUUAUUGAAGAAUUUCUCAGUUAUAGUUCUACCUGAAUUCCUUAUGUGUGCUCCUAUGGAAUGGGUAGUUUACAAUUUUUCUGGUGCCGGAUGUUAGGCCAGAGGCGAUGCGCGUUUUCUUACUUUAUUUAGAGAUAAAAAGUUAGUUUCUGAAUCAAGCUUUUAGUUUCUGGUGCCUCUUCUUUCUUUAGGAAAGAGCUUGUGAAAAGGUUCUAUUCCAAGUAUCUUGGUUUCCAUAAAAAUAAAAGCAUAUAACCAAAGGGUCUUAACCCAAUGGUUACACCCAUCUCUUGAAGUUCCAAGAGGGUGGGGUUUAAAUUUAAAUUAGAAAUAAAAUAAAAUAAAAUAAUUUCUGAUACCGUGAAAUUAUUUAAAAUUUCAAAAUUUUAAAUUGAAGUGACUAAAUGAUAGCAAGAUCUUAGCUGGUGUCUAAUUUAGUUGGUAAUCAUAAUAUGCUUUUCUAGAAAUUCCACUUCUUUUCUUUCUCCUAUUUAUGAUCAAAUCUCUGGUUUCUUCUGAGGAAUACUAUACUAGUUUGAAAGUUGGUUCGUGUGUUUAAUCAUUCAAAAACUGUAACAUUCUUUGCAAGACACCCAAAAAACUGUAACAUUCUUUGCAAGACUGAGAUAAUGUGAGGAAUAAUAAAGAUGAAUAUCAUCACCUUUUUCGCGGGAAAGCCUAUUUCUUAAUUAGAUUAGUCUAGUUUAAAAGAGUUACUCCUCUAAACUUUCGAACAUUCAAAGAAGUAAUCCCCAUUGUGGAGAUUUCAAAAUCUUAGGAAAACUGACCGACAAAAUGAACUAGUGUUUCUUAAUGGGUUAGGCAACAGCUGGGAAACUUCCCACAUGCAUGCAAGUCUCAACUAAAUCAAAUCUUGAUCUUGUUUCCUUUUGGCCUUCUUUCUACUAUGCAUAUAUGCUUCUAAUUAAAGUCAUGUUGAGGUGUGUAAAGGAGUGGAACCAUGACAAGUGGAUUCAGCUCUUCAAUUUCAUUGCUCCACUGACCAAUGACAUGCUUUCUCUUGUUUGGUGGAUCACAAAAUCGCCCCAUCAGGCCUACUCAUAUUUGAUUAGUCAUUUAAAGCAUCAACCCUGAAACUUUAGGGCGUCCAAUUAUGAGAACAGGCAAAUUUAUAAAUUCAUUCUUUUACGCCUACUUACUGAUCAACUUUAUUUUAUUUUAUUUUUGCUAAUCAACUUAAUUCAUUAUUAGUAAACUGUAUUUAUUUAUUACGGGUGGUUACAUGGAGUUAAUUUUGGUUAAUUAAUAAUACAGUGUCAACACACAUGUUGAGAGGUGAUCUCUCUCUGCGUGUCAGUACUAUAUUGAUCAAUUAACUAACUUAUCAUCAAGUUAACUCGAUGAUAACAAGAUACAUUCAUUACUUAAUUACAUAUGUGCAUAGGUCAUCUUUUCUAAAUUUAUUUUUUGAGGUUACUAUGAAAUAAGAAGUUAUUUAAAAUUUUUCCAAAUAUGCAAUUUUUCGACGGAUGUAUCUUAAUUAUCUUAUCUAUCUAAAACUAAUAUUGAGAAUAUAAUAUCUUUAUUAUUAGUAGUAAGAGUAUGAUAGUGUAAGUUUUUAUGCAAUUCUUUAAAUGAUCCUGAACAAAACAAAUAUAACAUGAGAUUAUUUUAAAUUAUCCACGAAUAAUUUCAUAAAAAACAAACAUAUAUAUGACUAUGACUAUUUAAUCUUAGAAUUAAUAGUCUUGAUAUUACAUUAAUUUACCGGAAUAUAGUUAUGAGAUUAUAAUCUUUGCAAACAAGCAUGCCAUAUGUCAUCAAGAUCUUCAUUGACCAGAAUACAUUCCUUUUCUUUUUCUAUACAUAAAUAUAUAUUGUACUUCUUCGGUGGGGUUCUCAUUACCAAACAUGAGAAGUAAUGAGAUAGUUGGUUCAGUUGGUUAAUCAGUCAAUCUUAACUAACAUCACAUAUCGUCUUUUUCCUUCUAUACUAACUUAAUUAGCUGUGUUGGAUGUGCCAUUGAAACGUACUUUUGGAGCACGCAUAUUUGCUUUGUGAUGUACCCUACUUGCUUCUAUUAUCAAAAGCAAAACAGGAGAACGAAGAAAGUUUAUCUAAAAAUUUCUUUCCUUCCUGGUGUAGGAGCCAAAAAGAGAGGGCUUUAAUUGGGCAUACUAUCCUUCUUUUGGCAGGAGUGAAGAGGUAAGAAACCACUUCAAUAGGAAAAAUAAACGUUCUUUUCCUGUUCACCUUUUUUAUAUCCUCCUAAAAAUGGUAGAAUCUUACAUUUCUCAGAGUUCUGGAAGAAAAAAUAAAGUCCGUUGCCAGAGAAGAAAGAGCUCUUAAUUAAAACUAUGCUCUAGUGUGCUGCUAAAUAUGUUAAUUAAUUAAGGCAUUAAUUAGGCAUAUAAACUCGUCACAAGAAAAUCAUAUAUAUAUAUAUAUAUAUAUAUAUAUAUGUAUGUAUAUAU
rnacentral:lncRNA from 1 species